rnacentral:tRNA from 2 species
GCGAGAGUGGCGGAAUUGGCAGACGCGCUGGGUUUAGGACCCAGUGGUUUUACCGUGGGGGUUCGAAUCCCCCCUCUCGCACCA